rnacentral:misc_RNA from 1 species
CAUGAGUUGUCUUGGACCCGUGACUGCCUGUAGGACCCCCGGCCCGUUGUGCGGCCGACUGCUGGCGCCUGUGUCCCACCAUUCUUGUGGCCGUAACCAUACCGCUACACCGACAAGUGCUUGCAUGCUGGUACCCGACAUACGGGAAUUGGUGCCUCAUAAACGGUUGCCUCGCGGCGGACGCCCGUAGGGCGUGCCGCUGCGGCCCAAUAGCGCUCGCGGCGUUGCCUCGUGGUGCCGGCAUCAUGCAUGCCCGGUGCUUCCAAGGCCACCUCGCUUGCGCUCUUGGUCUCGGAUGUCGCCCAUGAUGAAGGCUCGCGGACCAUUGGCGCUGCGUCCCUACCGAAAGCUCUCUCGAUACACGACGGUAGAGCUGGUCGUUGCCGUUGUCAUGCCACAUGGUGGCUGGCGCGUGCAACUCCCGGUCUCGGCCUGUCGACGAGGACGUGCU